AACGAACGCUGGCGGCAGGCCUAACACAUGCAAGUCGAGCGAGGACUUCGGUCCUAGCGGCGGACGGGUGAGUAACGCGUGGGAACGUGCCCUUUGCUUCGGAAUAGCCCUGGGAAACUGGGAGUAAUACCGGAUGAGCCCUUUGGGGGAAAGAUUUAUCGGCGAAGGAUCGGCCCGCGUUGGAUUAGGUAGUUGGUGGGGUAAUGGCCUACCAAGCCGACGAUCCAUAGCUGGUUUGAGAGGAUGAUCAGCCACACUGGGACUGAGACACGGCCCAGACGACUACGGGAUGCAGCGGUGGGGAGUAUUAGAGAAUGGAGUAAGCGCUGAUAUAGCCAUUCCGCGGGAGAGAGGAAGGCCUUAGGGAUGGAAGGCCCUCUGGGCUGCUAAGAUAAGGACGGUACCGGCAGAAGAAGCACCGGCUAACUACGUG
rnacentral:rRNA from 1 species